CAUUAAACUUUAAAAUCUCUUUAUCAACAGUGUUUAUGUUUGUUAGCUUGUCAGUUCUUUCCUUAUCACUGUUUCUUAUAUAUCAUGCUUUGUGGAUUGGGUUUUUUGUUUUUUUGUUUUUUUUUUUAGAUUUUUAUGUUUCUUUUUUUAUUAAGGAAAAAAAAAUCUGUAUUGAUAGAUGGUUUGCAGAACUUGUGCCAGUCACUAAGCUGUUCAGUUUCGAUUGAGCUAGGCCUCUCAUUACAAGGCUGCAGCAUUCUGCUGGCAGGCUUUUACCAUUGGUGUGAUUCAUGGUCACGGAACAGAUCUGCAAGAGAAGACCCUCCCAGGAUGCUGAAAUGCUGAACUGAUGAUUUAAACCCACAUGAUGAAGGACUCUGACAGCAACCAGGUUGAUUGAAGAAGGAAGGGAUGUGAGGAAGGUGAAAGUGCUUCUGAAAGAGUAUUUGAAGUGACAAGCCAUGGAGGUCAGACUGAAGAGUGAAAAGAAGCGAUGCAACAAUGGGGCUGAUAAGUCGGCAAGAGAAGAAAGAUCAAGAACCUAUAAGUAUUUGUUAGUCAAACGUCAAUAAAGCUGGUAAGACAAAAGAAACA
rnacentral:lncRNA from 1 species